rnacentral:lncRNA from 1 species
AGCGAUCCACUGAGAAGUUGACUAGGGUGACUGGAUGAGGGUGCCCCGAAACACGGGAAAGGCAGGGUUUCGCCGGGUAGCGGCCACGGGUGAAGAUAUGCCCCUCUGUCCCACAUCAUACAUACACAUACAUACAUACACACAUACAUACACACAUACAUACACACAUACAUACACACAUACAUACACACAUACACGGUCUCUGCGCGAGCCGCCCAACAGCAAGCAUAUAGGUUCUCAACCUGCCUACACACCUAUCUACACCUACCCGCAUUGACGACCGAAAACACAGCACGCCAUCACAACCCCCCGUUCAGGCGUCACCACACGCCCCAUCCAAAUACUGUCCGAGUCAAGCCUCCCCGCCACCACCUCCCCAGAGGUAUACCAAGGUAUAGAUGCCUUGUCGCACCUGCAGCCCGUCCACAAUGUGAGUUUCAGUUGCAUAUAUGCGACAGACAUGGGAACCGGGGCCCCUGCAACUGCCGCCCCAAACCUGCAACCACCAACUGCCGCCCCAAACCUGCAACCACCAACUGUUACCACCAUCCUGGGGCCGAAGUGUCGAAUUCACCAGGGCAAAAACGCCCCACAGGACUAGAAAGUCUAUCAUUUUUAAACAUCAAAUGUUCUUAAUUCUUAAACAGGAAGAAAGGGAUGUAAGUUAUAUACCUGGUUUAACAUAAGGGAGAUAUAGAUAUGUAUAUUUCAAAUUUAGUAUCUCGUCCGCGCUCUUGGAAAAUAGCUUAUGCCCAUUACGCUUUCACGCUCUCGCUCUCUCCUGCGGACACACAGCUAACAGCUGUAUGUAUGUAUGUGCGGUUCACCCCCCCUCCCCCGCACCUCCAGACCGUCCCGACCGUCCGGGCAGUUGUGGGGCAUCAACAGGCAUCACGUUGUGAACUGCCACUGCAGCGCACACCACCACCGCGGCCACACCACCGCCAGUUACCAAUAGGUAGGCGGGUGGGUAGGUAGGCAGGUAGGCAAUUACGCCGACAACCCAUCAAAAGCUCGGGAGCGACUGCGAUGUGCAAUGAGCGGUGCAAUGGCGUGUGCUAAAACACACACCCACACACCCCCUUCCCUACUCAACCAACCAUCCAACCGUAAACCGCUCAACCACCAACCGUCACCAACUCGGCCUGUGCAUCCAUUCCAACCUUAGAACAGGAAACCGACUUUAAGCACCCCUAAGCGCCCCUAGC